GAUGAACGCUAGCGGCAGGCUUAAUACAUGCAAGUCGAGGGGCAUCAAGGUACACGAAAGUGUAUUGUUGGCGACCGGCGGACGGGUGAGUAAUAGGUAGGUAACCUACCUCAUACUGAGGCAUAGCUGGGAGAAAUUCCAGGUAAUUCCUCAUGAGGUUAUAUGACACAUGUGAUAUAAUCAAAGGUAUCGCAAGGUACUGGUAUGAGAUGGGCUUACUGACCAUUAGCUAGUUGGUGAGAUAAGAGCUCACCAAGGCGAAGAUGGUUAGGGGUUUUGAGAGAGAGAUCCCCCACAUUGGAACUGAGAUACGGCCCAGACUCCUACGGGAGGCAGCAGUAGGGAAUAUUGGGCAAUGGGCGGAAGCCUGACCCAGCCAUGCCGCGUGAAGGAAGACGGCCUUAUGGUUGUAAACUUCUUUACUAUGCGACUAAACUAGAUUUACGAGAUAAUUCUAUAGAAUGUAGCAUAGCAAAAAGCACCGGA
rnacentral:rRNA from 1 species